rnacentral:rRNA from 1 species
UACCAGCACCCCGAGUGGUCGGGACGUUUUAUUGGGCCUAAAGCAUCCGUAGCCGGUUCUACAAGUCUUCCGUUAAAUCCAACUGCUUAACAGGUGGGCUGCGGAAGAUACUAUAGAGCUAGGAGGCGGGAGAGGCAAGCGGUACUCAGUGGGUAGGGGUAAAAUCCUCUGAUCCAUUGAAGACCACCAGUGGCGAAGGCGGCUUGCCAGAACGCGCUCGACGGUGAGGGAUGAAAGCUGGGGGGAGCAAACCGG